UGGUGUGGCCAUACCAAACUGAAUACCCCUGACCACCUCUGCUCAAGAAAGCAAAGCAGUCUUGGGCCAGGUCAUAGUACUUGUAUCAGCGAUCACUUGGAAAUCCCAGGUGUUGCACAUC
ensembl:rRNA 5S_rRNA 5S ribosomal RNA